CACCAACUGAAGGCUGAAGAGGAGGGAGGUACUCGAAGAGAGAGAGAGAGAGAGAGAGAGAGAGAGAGGGAAAUGCCUGAAAGUGGAAACAGAAAUGUUAAAGAGUGCGACAGGGUGCAUGUAUAAAAACAAGAUUGAAACGCUUGGUUAGAAGCACAACUACAGAAACAUCUCCAUUCAAAUAAACAGAUCUCCGAGCAGGACCUUCUGUAAAAUGCUCGUGUCGAUUCUUUACUUCAUUGCAUUGCUCCACUUGAGCUCUGCCUAUAG